rnacentral:misc_RNA from 1 species
GAUGAAGAACGUAGCGAAAUGCGAUAAGUAAUGUGAAUUGCAGAAUUCAGUGAAUCAUCGAAUCUUUGAACGCACAUUGCGCCCGCCAGCAGUCUGGCGGGCAUGCCUGUUCGAGCGUCAUUUCAACCCUCGAGCCCCCCCGGGGGCCUCGGUGUUGGGGGACGGCACACCAGCCGCCCCCGAAAUGCAGUGGCGACCUCGCCGCAGCCUCCCCUGCGUAGUAGCACACACCUCGCACCGGAGCGCGGAGACGGUCACGCCGUAAAACGCCCAACUUCUUAGAGUUGACCUCGGAUCAGGUAGGAAUACCCGCUGAACUUAAGCAUAUCAAUAAGCGGAGGA